rnacentral:rRNA from 1 species
AUUAGAUACCCUGGUAGUCCACGCCGUAAACGAUGGAUACUAGGUGUGGGGGGACUGACCCCCUCCGUGCCGCAGCUAACGCAAUAAGUAUCCCACCUGGGGAGUACGAUCGCAAGGUUGAAACUCAAAGGAAUUGACGGGGGCCCGCACAAGCGGUGGAGUAUGUGGUUUAAUUCGAAGCAACGCGAAGAACCUUACCAGGGCUUGACAUCGUACUAACGAACCAGAGAUGGAUUAGGUGCCCUUCGGGGAAAGUAGAGACAGGUGGUGCAUGGUUGUCGUCAGCUCGUGUCGUGAGAUGUUGGGUUAAGUCCCGCAACGAGCGCAACCCCUAUUGUUAGUUGGUACGCAAGAGCACUCUAGCGAGACUGCCGUUGACAAAACGGAGGAAGGUGGGGACGACGUCAAAUCAUCAUGCCCCUUACGUCCUGGGCCACACACGUAGUACAACGGCGGUAAACAAAGAGAGGCAAGACCGCGAGGUGGAGCAAAUCUCAAAAAGCCGUCCCAGUUCGGAUCGCAGGCUGCAACCCGCCUGCGUGAAGUCGGAAUCGCUAGUAAUCGCGGAUCAGCAUGCCGCGGUGAAUACGUUCCCGGGCCUUGUACACACCGCCCGUCAAGCCAUGAAAGCCGGGAACACCCGAAGUCCGUAGCCUAACCGCAAGGGGGGCGCGGCCGAAGGUGGGUUCGAUAAUUGGGGUGAAGUCGUAACAAGGUAAC